GUUUUGGACACCCCACAGCUUAAGCGUUACUGCAGCAUUUCUCCUAGGAACACCAAGCUGAGAUGGAGAGGGUGCCUCCAAUUCACAGCCUGUGGCAGUGGCUAUGAGAGUUUUCUGGAGUGAUUUUUCCCAAAGGGCAAAAGGUAUCAUUAACUUGCUGAGAGAAAUGAAGAGGGGCUGAAACCAUCUUCAGGAGGAUCACACUCAUAUUUUGAGCCCAGAAUUUCACCUGAGACUUAAGUGAAGAACAAGUUAAAACCAAAAAAUUAAAUCAGCUUGGACUGUAACAGAGGGGAGAGGAUGUGACCAACAUGGACUUGUACUUCCUGAUUGCUAUGCAGAAGUGAGCGUCUCAAGAUGAUUUUGUGCACAAUGGCCACCCCAUGCUUAGCAGGUAGCCUGGACUGAGACAUAAAGAAACAAAAAAGGAAGUAGCAGUAUUUGAGUAGAGAACAUGAUAGGAUAUGAAAAUGUGGGCUUUAUAAAGCAGGAAGAGCUUGGAGAAGGUUCUGACAGAAGGUCUGCAGUGGAGGGAAUAGCAUGUCUUUGAUGACAAAGCUGUUCUCCCCCUUACCUGAGAGUUCCUUGUUCAAUAUUGCAAGAAAAUAACAUGACUUUAAUCUGCUCUACUAAGAUGAAGAUCCAGAUCGCUUUUUCCCUUUUCCUAAGUGUGUUCUGAACACCAGCAGCCACUUGCUGUAAGAGCCAGAAUUCAGGAACAAGAAUGUUCCUUGCUGCAUGUUCUUCAGCACCAUCUGCUGGCACUUUCCCUAGUCACCACCUGGGCGUUGCAUCACCUACAGCCCUUGAGUCACUUUCAAGAACAAAGAAACCGAGUAAAAUCCUCUAAGAGACUGUCCAUACAUAAUAAACCUAAAGACUACCUUGGAUGAAUUAGUGCUUAAAUAAACUUUGGUGCUUAUGUGAACCAUAGUAAAAAUCAGCCAACUUACAAGCAAAUACAAUUGGGCUAAUGGGAAUACAUGUCACUUCACAAAAGUAUAAUGGAGGCAAGGGACAAAAAGGCAACUCAGAGAAAACCAGAACUCAUGAGGUGAUGAGAACAUGUCCAGGAAGGGAAAAUUUUACAGGAGACGUAAGAAGAUAUUAACCUGGAAAAGAGCCUUUGGAAGCAGAAUCUGGACCAGUAUUUAU